UACGUAGGGUGCAAGCGUUAAUCGGAAUUACUGGGCGUAAAGCGUGCGCAGGCGGUUGUGCAAGACCGAUGUGAAAUCCCCGGGCUUAACCUGGGAAUGGCAUUGGUGACUGCACGGCUAGAGUGUGGCAGAGGGGGGUGGAAUUCCACGUGUAGCAGUGAAAUGCGUAGAUAUGUGGAGGAACACCGAUGGCGAAGGCAGCCCCCUGGGUUAACACUGACGCUCAUGCACGAAAGCGUGGGGAGCAAACAGG
rnacentral:rRNA from 1 species